AACGAACGCUGGCGGCGUGCUUAACACAUGCAAGUCGAACGAGAAAGAUUUCUUCGGAAAUUGAGUAGAGUGGCGCACGGGUGAGUAACGCGUAGGUAAUCUACCCUAAUAUUUGGGAUAACAUUGGGAAACUGGUGCUAAUACCGAAUACCCUUCUUUUCUGUCGGGUUAAGGAGGAAAGGUGGCCUCUUCAUGAAAGCUACCGUAUAAGGAUGAGCCUGCGUACCAUUAGCUAGUAGGUGGGGUAAAGGCCCACCUAGGCUACGAUGGUUAGCGGGUCUGAGAGGAUGAUCCGCCACACUGGAACUGGAACACGGACCAGACUCCUACGGGAGGCAGCAGUGAGGAAUAUUGCGCAAUGGGGGAAACCCUGACGCAGCGAUGCCGCGUGGGUGAAGAAGGCCUUCGGGUCGUAAAGCCCUGUCAGAUGGGAAGAAUAGCCUGGGGACGAAUAAUCCUCAGGUAUGACGGUACCAUCGAAGGAAGCACCGGCUAACUCCGUG
rnacentral:rRNA from 1 species